ACUUAUAGCAACAUCAGCGUUUUCACUUUUCAGCAGCAUCAAUGGUGAGGUCAGAGGAGGAAGAAGAUGGGGGAGAUGGAGAUCGAAGGAAGAAAGAUGAAAGAUCCAAGCCGCUUCCAAUUCUUUCCUCAAUCUGCCACUGAUCACGGUCCUGCUAGGAGAUACUCUGCUUUUUCUCUCCGUUCAUAUGUGAGGAAACGCCCAGCAUGAAAACACGAGCACAAU
rnacentral:lncRNA from 1 species